AUCGAGACCAAAAUCCAGAUUAAGCAAAUCAUUUUUUAACUGAAAAUUGGAAAAAUAACCAUAUGGGACAGAGAUGACAACAGAAUGAUUGAAGAGUUUAAAAAGUACUCUGGAAAUGGCAUUGUGGAGCAGCUGAGUGAAAUUGUUACAGAGAAGCCAGAUUACUCGGUCAUUUUACAUGGCGACUGUUGAAGCAAUAAUAUGAUGUUCAAGUAUAAGGUUUCUCAGAAUACUAAGAAAGUAAUUGACAUGCGUUUUCCAGUUAAAGAUUUAUCGUAUUGUUUGUAUUCUGGUGCUUCUAAGAAAGAGCUCGACAGUUAUAAUGAAUAUUUAAAAGUAUAUUAUGAAAGUUGUUCGUCUUUUUUAAGAAACUUAGGAAGUGAUCCUCUAAAAUUGUUUCCUUUUGAAAUUCUUAAAGAACACUGGAAGAAAUAUUCCAAAUUUGGAAUGAUCAUAUCGCUCCCCAUUCUCAAAAUGCAGGAAACCAAGAAAGAAGAUAUUAUAGAUUUCUCAGGUGAAGUCGAUGAGAAUAAAAUAAAGAAUAUGGUGUCUCAAGCCAAGUUUAACGAAGAAGGCUUCAAAAAACGAAUAAAAGAAGUACUUCAACAUAUGACAGA